UACGGAGGGUGCAAGCGUUGCUCGGAAUUAUUGGGCGUAAAGGGUAGGUAGGUGGUCUUAUUUGUCUGGGGUGAAAUCCUUGAGCUUAACUCAAGAAGUGCCCUAGAAACGGUAAGACUAGAGUCCUGGAGAGGGUCGUGGAAUUCCCGGUGUAGCGGUGAAAUGCGUAGAGAUCGGGAGGAACACCAGAGGCGAAGGCGGCGACCUGGACAGGUACUGACACUCAACUACGAAAGCGUGGGGAGCAAACAGG
rnacentral:rRNA from 1 species